rnacentral:rRNA from 1 species
CUUAUGCAUGCAGUUGAGCGAAGCUUUUUGGUAGUUUACUACUAGAAAUGACUGAGCGGCGAACGGGUGAGUAACGCGUGAGCAAUCUACCUUAGUUACUGGGAUAGCCCGAGGAAACUCGGAUUAAUACCGGAUAUUCUUAUUUUUUCACAUGAAGUUUUAAGGAAAGGUCAGCCGAACUAAGAUGAGCUCGCGUUCUAUCAGCUAGUUGGUGGGGUAAAAGCCUACCAAGGCUACGACGGAUAGCUGGUCUGAGAGGACGAUCAGCCACACUGGGACUGAGACACGGCCCAGACUCCUACGGGAGGCUGCAGCAGGGAAUAUUGUGCAAUGAGCGAAAGCUUGACACAGCGACACCGCGUGUGGGAUGACGGUUCUAGGAUUGUAAACCACUUUCAGGAGGGAAGAAAAUGACGGUACCUCCACAAGAAGACCCGGCCAACUAUGUGCCAGCAGCCGCGGUAAUACAUAGGGGUCAAGCGUUGUCCGGAUUUAUUGGGCGUAAAGAGCUCGUAGGCGGUUCAACAAGUCGGUCGUAAAAGUUUAGGGCUCAACCCUAAAAUGUCGAUCGAUACUGUUGUGACUAGGAUACGGUAGAGGUGAAUGGAAUUCCGAGUGUAGCGGUGAAAUGCGUAGAUAUUCGGAGGAACACCAAUUGCGAAGGCAGUUCACUGGACCGUGAUCGACGCUGAGGAGCGAAAGCUAGGGGAGCAAACAGGAUUAGAUACCCUGGUAGUCCACGCCGUAAACGAUGGAUACUAG